rnacentral:rRNA from 1 species
AACGAACGCUGGCGGCGUGCUUAAGACAUGCAAGUCGUGCGAGAAAGCCACUUCGGGUGGUGAGUAAAGCGGCGCACGGGUGAGUAACGCGUGGAUAAUCUACCUACGGGUCUGGGACAACUCUGGGAAACCGGGGCUAAUACCGGAUAAGACCACGGGGCCUUCGGGUCUUGCGGAAAAAGGUGGCCUCUUCUUGAAAGCUAUCGCCUGUUGAUGAGUCCGCGUCCCAUUAGCUUGUUGGUGAGGUAAGAGCUCACCAAGGCUUCGAUGGUAGCUGGUCUGAGAGGAUGAUCAGCCACACUGGAACUGAGACACGGUCCAGACUCCUGCGGGAGGCAGCAGUCGGGAAUUUUGGGCAAUGGGGGAAACCCUGACCCAGCAACGCCGCGUGAGGGAUGAAGGCCCUCGGGUCGUAAACCUCUGUCGGAAGGGAAGAAAGGCCUCUGUCCGAAUAAGGCGGGGGCUUGACGGUACCUUCAAAGGAAGCACCGGCUAACUCCGUG